rnacentral:rRNA from 1 species
UGUUACAAUGGCAGGUACAGAGGGGUGCUACCGGGUGACCGGAUGCCGAUCUCGAAAACCUGUCCCAGUUCGGACUGGAGUCUGCAACCCGACUCCACGAAGUUGGAUUCGCUAGUAAUCGCGCAUCAGCCAUGGCGCGGUGAAUACGUUCCCGGGCCUUGUACACACCGCCCGUCAAGCCAUGGGAGCCGGGGCGCCUGAAGUCCGGGACCGCGAGGACCGGCCUAGGGCGAAACUGGUGACGUGGGGCUAAGUCGUAACAAGGUAUC